AGAACGAACGCUGGCGGCGUGCCUAACACAUGCAAGUCGAACGAGAAAGGGUAGCAAUACCUGAGUAAAGUGGCGCACGGGUGAGUAACACGUGACUAACCUACCCUGGAGUGGGGGAUAACUGAGGGAAACCUUAGCUAAUACCGCAUAACACCUACGGGUCAAAGGAGCAAUUCGCUUCAGGAGGGGGUCGCGGCCGAUUAGUUAGUUGGCGGGGUAAUGGCCCACCAAGACAGUGAUCGGUAUCC
rnacentral:rRNA from 1 species